rnacentral:rRNA from 1 species
CGCGUAGGCGGUUUGGACAGUCAGGCGUGAAAUUCCCGGGCUUAACCUGGGGGCUGCGCUUGAUACAUCCAGGCUUGAGUGGGGAAGAGGGUCGUGGAAUUCCCAGUGUAGAGGUGAAAUUCGUAGAUAUUGGGAAGAACACCGGUGGCGAAGGCGGCGACCUGGUCCUUUACUGACGCUGAGGCGCGAAAGCGUGGGGAGCAAACAGGAUUAGAUACCCUGGUAGUCCACGCUGUAAACGAUGUGUGCUGGAUGUUGGGUGACCUAGUCACUCAGUGUCGUAGCUAACGCGGUAAGCACACCGCCUGGGGAGUACGGCCGCAAGGUUGAA